UACGGAAGGCAGCAGUGGGGAAUAUUGCACAAUGGGCGCAAGCCUGAUGCAGCCAUGCCACGUGUAUGAAGAAGGCCUUCGGGUUGUAAAGUACUUUCAGCGGGGAGGAAGGCGGUGGAGUUAAUAGCUUCACCGAUUGACGUUACCCGCAGAAGAAGCACCGGCUAACUCCGUGCCAGCAGCCGCGGUAAUACGGAGGGUGCAAGCGUUAAUCGGAAUUACUGGGCGUAAAGCGCACGCAGGCGGUCUGUCAAGUCGGAUGUGAAAUCCCCGGGCUUAACCUGGGAACUGCAUUCGAAACUGGCAGGCUAGAGUCUUGUAGAGGGGGUAGAAUUCCAGGUGUAGCGGUGAAAUGCGUAGAGAUCUGGAGGAAUACCGGUGGCGAAGGCGGCCCCUGGGACAAAGCUGACGCUCAGGUGCGAAAGCGUGGGGAGCAAACAGGGAUUAGGAUACC
rnacentral:rRNA from 1 species